rnacentral:rRNA from 1 species
GAUGAACGCUGGCGGCGUGCCUAAUACAUGCAAGUCGAGCGAACAGACGAGGAGCUUGCUCCUCUGACGUUAGCGGCGGACGGGUGAGUAACACGUGGAUAACCUACCUAUAAGACUGGGAUAACUUCGGGAAACCGGAGCUAAUACCGGAUAAUAUAUUGAACCGCAUGGUUUAAUAGUGAAAGACGGUUUUGCUGUCACUUAUAGAUGGAUCCGCGCCGCAUUAGCUAGUUGGUAAGGUAACGGCUUACCAAGGCAACGAUGCGUAGCCGACCUGAGAGGGUGAUCGGCCACACUGGAACUGAGACACGGUCCAGACUCCUACAGGAGGCAGCAGUAGGGAAUCUUCCGCGAUGGGCGAAAGCCUGACGGAGCAACGCCGCGUGAGUGAUGAAGGUCUUCGGAUCGUAAAACUCUGUUAUUAGGGAAGAACAAAUGUGUAAGUAACUAUGCACGUCUUGACGGUACCUAAUCAGAAAGCCACGGCUAACUACGUG